rnacentral:rRNA from 1 species
CAUACACUCCUGCGGGAGGCAGCAGUGGGGAAUAUUGGACAAUGGGCGCAAGCCUGAUCCAGCCAUGCCGCGUGAGUGAUGAAGGCCCUAGGGUUGUAAAGCUCUUUCACCGGUGAAGAUAAUGACGGUAACCGGAGAAGAAGCCCCGGCUAACUUCGUGCCAGCAGCCGCGGUAAUACGAAGGGGGCUAGCGUUGUUCGGAUUUACUGGGCGUAAAGCGCACGUAGGCGGACUAUUAAGUCAGGGGUGAAAUCCCGGGGCUCAACCCCGGAACUGCCUUUGAUACUGGUAGUCUUGAGUUCGAGAGAGGUGAGUGGAAUUCCGAGUGUAGAGGUGAAAUUCGUAGAUAUUCGGAGGAACACCAGUGGCGAAGGCGGCUCACUGGCUCGAUACUGACGCUGAGGUGCGAAAGCGUGGGGAGCAAACAGGAUUAGAAACCCGUGUAGUCCCAUGAU